UACGUAGGGGGCGAGCGUUGUCCGGAUUUAUUGGGCGUAAAGAGCGUGUAGGCGGCCAGGUAGGUCUGCUGUGAAAACUCGAGGCUCAACCUCGAGACGUCGGCGGAAACCAUCUGGCUAGAGUCCGGAAGAGGAGAGUGGAAUUCCUGGUGUAGUGGUGAAAUGCGCAGAUAUCAGGAAGAACACCCGUGGCGAAGGCGGCUCUCUGGGACGGUACUGACGCUGAGACGCGAAAGCGUGGGGAGCGAACAGG
rnacentral:rRNA from 1 species